UGAGGAAUAUUGGGCAAUGCCCGCAAGGGUGACCCAGCAACGCCGCGUGGAGGAUGUAUGUCGUAAGAUUGUAAACUCCUGUUAGAGGGGAAGAAUAGUACCGGUUGGACCGGUAUAUGACUGUACCCUCAGAGAAAGCCCCGGCUAACUACGUGCCAGCAGCCGCGGUAAUACGUAGGGGGCAAGCGUUGUCCGGAUUUACUGGGUGUAAAGGGCGCGCAGGCGGGAUAAAAAGUCAGUGGUGAAAUCCUACAGCUUAACUGUAGAACUGCCUUUGAUACUUUUAUUCUUGAGUUCGGGAGAGAGAGACGGAAUUCCAGGUGUAGUGGUGAAAUACGGAGAUAUCUGGAAGAACACCAGUUGCGAAGGCGGUCUCUUGGUCCGACACUGACGCUGAGGCGCGAAAACGCGGGGAGCAAACA
rnacentral:rRNA from 1 species